rnacentral:rRNA from 1 species
CCCAACCGUCUCAAAUAAAUCGCAGCGAGGGGUAUAGGUUUUCGGACCUAGAGACCGGCGCACGGGUGCGUAACGCGUAUGCAAUCUACCUUUCACAGAGGGAUAGCCCAGGAGAAAUUUGGAUUAAUACCUCAUAGUAUUAUAGGAUGGCAUCAUUUUAUAAUUAAAGUCACAACGGUGAAAGAUGAGCAUGCGUCCCAUUAGUUAGUUGGUAAGGUAACGGCAUUACCCAAGACCUACGACUGGGCUAGGGGUCCUGAGCAGGGAGAUCCCCCUACACUGGUACUUGAGUACACGGACCAGACUCCGUACGGGAGUGCAGCAGAUGAGGAAUAUUGGACAAUGGGCGCAAGCCUGAUCCAGCCUAUGCCGCAGUGCACGAUGACGGUCCUAUGGAUUCGUAACACUGCUUUGUAUACGAUCAAGAAUACAGUACUUCGUGAAGUACCUUGGAGCGGUAUCGUAAGAAUAAGGAUCGGCUAACUCCGUGCCAGCAGCCGCGGUAAUACGGAGGAUCCACGCGUUAUCCGGAAUCAUUGGGUUUAAAGGGUCCGCUAGGCGGCUUAGUAAGUCAGUGGUUGAAACCCCAGUCGCUCAACGGUGGAACGGCCCAUUCGAUAACUGUUAAACUGAAGAUUUAUUCAGUGAACUCACUAUAAUAUGUCAGUAGUAAGCCGGUCGACAUUGCCCACGAGAUUUACUGGCCAUAACCAUUGGCAACGGGCCGGUUAACCAGAUGUGGAUUCACGCCUGCAUUGGACACAGGCUGGGGUACCCACAGGAUCGAAUCCCCGGGUGCCCGCCUAACCAUGCUACCAAUCGGGGGCACAUCCACGGAAGACGGAAAACCCACUCGAGGGCCUACAGAAAGACACAGA